rnacentral:piRNA from 1 species
CCCUGUUCAUGGGGUGCCUCAUGAUGAUGU